AUUGAACGCUGGCGGCAGGCCUAACACAUGCAAGUCGAACGGUAACAGGAAGAAGCUUGCUUCUUUGCUGACGAGUGGCGGACGGGUGAGUAAUGUCUGGGAAACUUCCUGAUGGAGGGGGAUAACUACUGGAAACGGUAGCUAAUACCGCAUAACGUCGCAAGACCAAAGAGGGGGACCUUCGGGCCUCUUGCCAUCGGAUGUGCCCAGAUGGGAUUAGCUAGUAGGUGGGGUAACGGCUCACCUAGGCGACGAUCCCUAGCUGGUCUGAGAGGAUGACCAGCCACACUGGAACUGAGACACGGUCCAGACUCCUACGGGAGGCAGCAGUGGGGAAUAUUGCACAAUGGGCGCAAGCCUGAUGCAGCCAUGCCGCGUGUAUGAAGAAGGCCUUCGGGUUGUAAAGUACUUUCAGCGGGGAGGAAGGGAGUAAAGUUAAUACCUUUGCUCAUUGACGUUACCCACAGAAGAAGCACCGGCUAACUCCGUG
rnacentral:rRNA from 1 species